rnacentral:misc_RNA from 1 species
AAGGAUCAUUAAAAAAUUAUUAGUUGUCCUUAGUGACCAACUCAUUGUGCAAUGUUACAUUUUGUUCUUGGCAGUUCAGUGUUUUUUUUUGGUGUUUUUUUUUUGUUUAUUUAUUUAAACCUAAAAAUAAUCGAAUAAAAAGCACGUCUUGGACUUUUUUGGUCUAAGGGGCUGCCGAUAGUCUUAUAAACUCUAGUAUUUUUUAAAUGUCUGAAUUAGCAUAUUAUUUUUAAUAAAUAAUAACAACUUUUGACAACGGAUCUCUUGGCUCUC